rnacentral:misc_RNA from 1 species
UCGUAACAAGGUCUUCGUAGGUGAACCUGCGGAGGGAUCAUUACCGAGUUAGGGUCCUCACAGGCCCGACCUCCCAACCCAUUGUUUAUGAUACUCAGUGUUGCUUCGGCAGGCCUGGUCUUUGACCUGCCGGAGGGCCGUAACACGCCCCCCGGAGAGCGCCUGCCGACGGCCCCAACUUCAAAAUUCUUAACUAAACAUGUCUUUGUCUAAGUACAGUCUUUAAUAAAAGCAAAACUUUCAACAACGGAUCUCUUGGUUCUGGCAUCGAUGAAGAACGCAGCGAAAUGCGAUAAGUAAUGCGAAUUGCAGAAUUCUCGUGAGUCAUCGAAUCUUUGAACGCACAUUGCGCCCUUUGGUAUUCCGAAGGGCAUGCCUGUUCGAGCGUCAUUUUCACCCCUCAAGCCCCCGGCUUGGUGUUGGACGGUUUGGUCCCGGGACCCCCCUGGACCCCUCCCAAAGACAAUGACGGCGGGCUGUCGCACCCCCGGUACACUGAGCAUCUUCACGGAGCACGUACCGGUCUCCAGGGUCGACGGCACCCGGUCUCACACCUAUAUCUUUCAAGGUUGACCUCGGAUCAGGUAGGAAUACCCGCUGAACUUAAGCAUAUCAAUAA